GAUGCUGGGCUCUGAGGGACUUU
rnacentral:piRNA from 1 species